rnacentral:rRNA from 1 species
UACGGGGGGGGCAAGCGUUGUUCGGAAUUACUGGGCGUAAAGGGCUCGUAGGCGGCCAACUAAGUCAUCCGUGAAAUCCCUCGGCUUAACCAGGGAACUGCGUCUGAUACUGGAUGGCUUGAGUUCGGGAGAGGGAUGCGGAAUUCCAGGUGUAGCGGUGAAAUGCGUAGAUAUCAGGAGGAACACCGGUGGCGAAGGCGGCACUCUGGGCCGGUACUGACGCUGAGGAGCGAAAGCGUGGGGAGCGAACAGG